rnacentral:rRNA from 1 species
UACGUAGGGGGCUAGCGUUGUCCGGAAUCAUUGGGCGUAAAGAGCGUGUAGGCGGUCCGGUAAGUCCGCUGUGAAAGUCGGGGGCUCAACCCUCGAAUGCCGGUGGAUACUGUCGGGCUAGAGUGCGGAAGAGGCGAGUGGAAUUCCUGGUGUAGCGGUGAAAUGCGUAGAGAUCGGGAGGAACACCAGAGGCGAAGGCGGCGACCUGGACAAGUACUGACACUCAACUACGAAAGCGUGGGGAGCAAACAGG